UACAGAGGGUGCGAGCGUUGUCCGGAAUCAUUGGGCGUAAAGGGCGCGUAGGUGGCCCCUCAAGCGUGCGGUGAAAGUCAGGGGCUCAACCCCUGAUCGGCCGUGCGAACUGGGGAGCUUGAGCACUGUAGAGGCAGGCGGAAUUCCGGGUGUAGCGGUGGAAUGCGUAGAGAUCCGGAAGAACACCGGUGGCGAAGGCGGCCUGCUGGGCAGUUUUGCUGACACUGAGGCGCGACAGCGUGGGGAGCAAACAGG
rnacentral:rRNA from 1 species